rnacentral:misc_RNA from 1 species
GAUGAAGAACGCAGCGAAAUGCGAUAAGUAAUGUGAAUUGCAGAAUCCAGUGAAUCAUCGAAUCUUUGAACGCACAUUGCGCCCGCCAGCAUUCUGGCGGGCAUGCCUGUUCGAGCGUCAUUUCAACCCUCGACCUCCCUUUGGGGAAGUCGGCGUUGGGGACCGGCAGCACACCGCCGGCCCUGAAAUGGAGUGGCGGCCCGUCCGCGGCGACCUCUGCAUAGUAAUCCAACUCGCACCGGAACCCCGACGCGGCCACGCCGUAAAACACCCAACUUCUGAACGUUGACCUCGAAUCAGGUAGGACUACCCGCUGAACUUAAGCAUAUCAAUAAGCGGAGGA